rnacentral:rRNA from 1 species
GAUGAACGCUGGCGGCGUGCCUAAUACAUGCAAGUCGAGCGAACGGACGAGAAGCUUGCUUCUCUGAUGUUAGCGGCGGACAGGUGAGUAACACGUGGAUAACCUACCUAUAAGACUGGGAUAACUUCGGGAAACCGGAGCUAAUACCGGAUAAUAUUUUGAACCGCAUGGUUCAAAAGUGAAAGACGGUCUUGCUGUCACUUAUAGAUGGAUCCGCGCUGCAUUAGCUAGUUGGUAAGGUAACGGCUUACCAAGGCAACGAUGCAUAGCCGACCUGAGAGGGUGAUCGGCCACACUGGAACUGAGACACGGUCCAGACUCCUACGGGAGGCAGCAGUAGGGAAUCUUCCGCAAUGGGCGAAAGCCUGACGGAGCAACGCCGCGUGAGUGAUGAAGGUCUUCGGAUCGUAAAACUCUGUUAUUAGGGAAGAACAUAUGUGUAAGUAACUGUGCACAUCUUGACGGUACCUAAUCAGAAAGCCACGGCUAACUACGUGCCAGCAGCCGCGGUAAUACGUAGGUGGCAAGCGUUAUCCGGAAUUAUUGGGCGUAAAGCGCGCGUAGGCGGUUUUUUAAGUCUGAUGUGAAAGCCCACGGCUCAACCGUGGAGGGUCAUUGGAAACUGGAAAACUUGAGUGCAGAAGAGGAAAGUGGAAUUCCAUGUGUAGCGGUGAAAUGCGCAGAGAUAUGGAGGAACACCAGUGGCGAAGGCGACUUUCUGGUCUGUAACUGACGCUGAUGUGCGAAAGCGUGGGGAUCAAACAGGAUUAGAUACCCUGGUAGUCCACGCCGUAAACGAUGAGUGCUAAGUGUUAGGGGGUUUCCGCCCCUUAGUGCUGCAGCUAACGCAUUAAGCACUCCGCCUGGGGAGUACGACCGCAAGGUUGAAACUCAAAGGAAUUGACGGGGACCCGCACAAGCGGUGGAGCAUGUGGUUUAAUUCGAAGCAACGCGAAGAACCUUACCAAAUCUUGACAUCCUUUGACAACUCUAGAGAUAGAGCCUUCCCCUUCGGGGGACAAGGUGACAGGUGGUGCAUGGUUGUCGUCAGCUCGUGUCGUGAGAUGUUGGGUUAAGUCCCGCAACGAGCGCAACCCUUAAGCUUAGUUGCCAUCAUUAAGUUGGGCACUCUAAGUUGACUGCCGGUGACAAACCGGAGGAAGGUGGGGAUGACGUCAAAUCAUCAUGCCCCUUAUGAUUUGGGCUACACACGUGCUACAAUGGACAAUACAAAGGGCAGCGAAACCGCGAGGUCAAGCAAAUCCCAUAAAGUUGUUCUCAGUUCGGAUUGUAGUCUGCAACUCGACUACAUGAAGCUGGAAUCGCUAGUAAUCGUAGAUCAGCAUGCUACGGUGAAUACGUUCCCGGGUCU